rnacentral:rRNA from 1 species
CCUACGGGAGGCAGCAGUGAGGAAUAUUGGUCAAUGGACGAGAGUCUGAACCAGCCAAGUAGCGUGAAGGAUGACUGCCCUCUGGGUUGUAAACUUCUUUUAUAUGGGAAUAAAAUGUUCCACGUGUGGGAUUUUGUAUGUACCAUAUGAAUAAGGAUCGGAUAACUCCGUGCCAGCAGCCGCGGUACUACGGAGGAUCCGAGCGUUAACCGGAUUUAUUGGGUUUAAAGGGAACGUAGGUGGAUUGUUAAGUCAGUUGUGAAAGUGUGCGGCUCAACCGCAACAUUGCAGUUGAAACUGGCAGUCUGGAGUACAGUAGAGGUGAGCGGAAUUCGUGGUGUAGCGGUGAAAUGCGUAGAUAUCACGAAGAACACCGAUUGCGAAGGCAGCUCACUGGACUGCAACUGACACUGAGGCUCGAAAGUGUGGGUAUCAAACAGGAUUAGAUACCCGAGUAGUC